rnacentral:rRNA from 1 species
AUACGUAGGGUGCGAGCGUUGUCCGGAAUUACUGGGCGUAAAGAGCUCGUAGGUGGUUUGUCGCGUCGUCUGUGAAAUUCCGGGGCUUAACUCCGGGCGUGCAGGCGAUACGGGCAUAACUUGAGUACUGUAGGGGAGACUGGAAUUCCUGGUGUAGCGGUGAAAUGCGCAGAUAUCAGGAGGAACACCGGUGGCGAAGGCGGGUCUCUGGUCAGUAACGGACGCUGGGGAGCGAAAGCAUGGGUAGCGAACAGGAUUAGAUGCCCUGGUAGUCCAUGCCGUAAACGGUGGGCGCUAGGUGUAGGGGUCUUCCACGACUUCUGUGCCGUAGCUAACGCAUUAAGCGCCCCGCCUGGGGAGUACGGCCGCAAGGUUAAAACUUAAAGGAAUUGACGGGG